AAUAACCUUAUUUUUCAUUUUUCUGUGUUCAACGUUUGACCAUUCGUCUUAUUUGAAAAAAAUUGUACAAAAUCUUUAAAAAAUCAGUCACAUAUAAAGUACUAUUUAUAUUUUAUCAUCUAGUAACAAUAAAAAUAUUAAUCGUAAAAAAAUUUUAAAUAAGAUAAAUGGUCAAAUGUUGGACACGGAAAAAAAAAGGU
rfam:Oryza brachyantha chromosome 8, whole genome shotgun sequence.